GGGGUGUUUAGUGGGUGCUCGUCAGCUGUCUCCAACCAUCCUUUUGGUUGCGGACUUGUCAAUAUCUUGAAGGUGGAUAAAGGUAGACCUCGUCCAGCCAUGUCAGCUGGGCCAGGGGCUCCACAUCAUCUGACGAAUGGAUGAUUGACACGUCAUUGGAUAGGAUUUGGGGAAUCACGCCCAAGCUAGGUCGUCUGACACCCCUGGGGAGGAAA
rnacentral:lncRNA from 1 species